AGUGAACGCUGGCGGUAGGCCUAACACAUGCAAGUCGAACGGCAGCACAGUGAGAGCUUGCUCUUACGGGUGGCGAGUGGCGGACGGGUGAGGAAUACAUCGGAAUCUACUUUUUCGUGGGGGAUAACGUAGGGAAACUUACGCUAAUACCGCAUACGACCUACGGGUGAAAGCAGGGGAUCUUCGGACCUUGCGCGAUUGAAUGAGCCGAUGUCGGAUUAGCUAGUUGGCGGGGUAAAGGCCCACCAAGGCGACGAUCCGUAGCUGGUCUGAGAGGAUGAUCAGCCACACUGGAGCUGAGACACGGUCCAGACUCCUACGAGAGGCAGCAGUGGGGAAUAUUGGACAAUGGGCGCGAGCCUGAUCCAGCCAUACCGCGUGGGUGAAGAAGGCCUUCGGGUUGUAAAGCCCUUUUGUUGGGAAAGAAAAGCAGCAGGUUAAUACCCCGCUGUUCUGACGGUACCCAAAGAAUAAGCACCGGCUAACUUCGUG
rnacentral:rRNA from 1 species